UAAAGGAUAAAUGACCUUGAAUUUUUAUUUAAUUUUAUUUUAAAUGUAAAUUUUAGUAUUAAAAAUAAAUAAAUUUAAAUAAUUUUGUUAAUUAAAAUUGCAGUAGUUAUUUUUAAUUUAUUUAAGAAAUUAAGAGUUAGUAAUUAUGUUAGUAUAAACUUAAUUUGUGCCAGCAGUUGCGGUUAUACAAAUUAUACAAUAAAAAUUUAUUAGUACUAGUUAAUUGAUUUUAUAAGUGAGUAUAAUUAUUUAUUAGGUGAAAUUUUAAAUAUUUAUAAUCUUUUUAUUUAAAAUGAGGCUAUAAAAUUUUUUUUUAAAACUAGGAUUAGAUACCCUAUUAUAAAAUAUAUAAAUGUGUAUACUAAAUUAGUAUUAGUUUUAUUCUUGAAAAUUAAAUAUUUUGGCGGUAUUUUAGUCUAUUUAGAGGAGCCUGUCCUAUAAUUGAUAUUCCACGAUUAAAUUUACUUAUUUUUUAAAUUUGUAUAUCGCUGUAGUUUGAAUAUUUUAAAUAAAUUUUUAAUAUUCAGGUAAUUUUUUGAUUUAAAUUCAGGUCAAGAUAUAGUUUAUAGAUAAGAAGAGAUGGGCUACAGUAAUUUUAUUUUUGGAUUUUAAGUUGUAGUAUUUAAUUGAAAUUGGAUUUAAAAGUAAUUUUUUAUUUAUUUGAGAAAUGAUUUAAGCUCUAAAAUAUGUACAUAUCGCCCGUCGCUUUCACUUUAAAGUGAAAUAAGUCGUAACAUAGUAGAGGUACUGGAAAGUGUUUCUAGAAACAG
rnacentral:ncRNA from 1 species